GAUUGCUUUCCUAGCUUCUCUCACCUGUCAGAGGAGGUCCAACAAGGAUCGUGAUGCUCUCCAGGAUGGUGAAGAGCCCUAGAGCAUUUGAGAACCUGUCCAUUUCCACCACAUCCAUCAGCACCUGGAAGGUAUCGAGAAAGCAGCGGCCACAGCGUGAAUCCAAGAGAGACGCCAGUGGAUGCCAUGGCAUUGGCCAGCGUUCGCCACCGCACGAAGUAGUAGCCCAGCACAGUCACUCCUGCCUGGAAACUGAAACAUGAUCCCAGACCUAAAGGAAAAGAUAUCUGCGCAUGGGAGUGGUGAAAUACAAGCCCAGGGAACCUGGGAAGGACGUCGUCCCAACACAUUACAUUCCAAGAUUGGAAAAAACCCUCCCUUCUCCAGAGACAAAAGGCUGAGAAGCCACGAAAAAAGAGAGCUUUGCUCUCUGUUUCACCCUCUGGACACCUGCAGGUUUUUCCAAACCCAAAGUGCUUUCCCGUGAGCUUGGCUGGAUGAAGUGUGUGUGAAAGGAGUGUGAAGGGCGAAUCCAGCUGCUGGUUGAUUUCUGCUGUGCUCUGGGGCUUUUGAUUUAUCCUAUUUCACGGACGAAUGGAAA